CCUUCGUUGAAUUUCUAUGAUACCCGAUUGCAAAAUUUUUUUCGUUUUUUAUUUUUCUUUUCACAUGUAUAAAUUUUGAACUUUUUGCAAAAUAACCUUUCGAGUUUAUCAAAAGAUACGUUUAUAAAAAAAUUUAUUUGGUCCAACGCAAAAUAGAUUGAUCAACGAAGAAAUCGAUGGCAAUGCUAGAGUGAAUUUUACACAUUCGGGGUCACCAACUGCAAUAAAAUAAAUUUCAUCGGAUUUGUAAAAAAUGUAUUUAAAGGAAAAUAUGUAAAGCAGAUAUGGUGAUUUUUAAAUUGUUUUUCACCUAGGGUUACUUACAAGAAAAUUACAUUGUAUUCCCAGACAAAAUGAACGAAUUUCAAUAAAUAUAUUUUGACCGAGCUUCCUUAGGCACUCCAAA